rnacentral:rRNA from 1 species
AUACGUAGGGGGCGAGCGUUGUCCGGAAUUACUGGGCGUAAAGGGCGUGUAGGCGGCCUGUUAAGUCAGGGGUGAAAGACCGGGGCUCAACCCCGGGGGUGCCUCUGAAACUGGCGGGCUUGAGUGCUCUAGAGGGCAGUGGAAUUCCCGGUGUAGCAGUGAAAUGCGUAGAGAUCGGGAGGAACACCAGUGGCGAAGGCGGCUGCCUGGGGAGUCACUGACGCUGAGGCGCGAAAGCUAGGGGAGCAAACAGGAUUAGAUACCCUGGUAGUCCUAGCCGUAAACGAUGAGUGCUAUGUGUGAGGGGUAUCGACCCCCCUCGUGCAGGAGCUAACGCACUAAGCACUCCGCCUGGGGAGUACGGCCGCAAGGUUGAA